GGAUUGCGACGCUCCAGCCAUGACAGAUGCCACUGGAGCACCUCCAGGUGGGGCUUUGGAUGAGCUAAACAACAUAUCAAGUGGAUCACUGGCAGUGGUUUGAACAGUAUCUUGAACCUUGGAACCAAAAUCCAUUGAGGGCAUUCCAAAAUCACCCAUAUUUAUGCCAGGAUUAAAACUUGAUCCCUUGAAAUCAACACCACUCCCAUUCGAUCUGCUUGAAGGAAAUGCUGUAGUGGUUGGAUUUGAAGCAUUCUGGAAAUCCCCA
rnacentral:misc_RNA from 1 species